GGUUGCGAAAUUAACAGCAAUGAAAAUGGCGAAACGAAACUUGUGAAUCGUGCAUUUGCUCUUCAUGGUAGCUGCCAGAAAAUCGAAUCAAACUUAUGGGACACUGGAUUACAGGUUGCUGCCACUACUCCAUGUGCCCGCAAUUGUCUUGCGUGUAUGAUUACACUAACGACGUCGCCCACCACGGCGGAAGUGUUUUGCGUACACGCGUUUCAGCAUGAAGCCUGCAGGUGGACGUAAAUUGUAGAAGGCAGCUAGUGGGGGACAAGAUCAUGGUCAUAGGUCAUGUGGCUCCUGGAGCUCCCAGUGGGCUCCCUUGUGGAGUACUUUUCAGAACACGCACACAGUUCGCUCACAGAACCAACGAGUAGGAUGUUGCUUGAAUACUGAGAGAAAAUGG